rnacentral:rRNA from 1 species
GAUGAACGCUGGCGGCGUGCCUAAUACAUGCAAGUCGAGCGAACAGACGAGGAGCUUGCUCCUCUGACGUUAGCGGCGGACGGGUGAGUAACACGUGGAUAACCUACCUAUAAGACUGGGAUAACUUCGGGAAACCGGAGCUAAUACCGGAUAAUAUAUUGAACCGCAUGGUUCAAUAGUGAAAGACGGUUUUGCUGUCACUUAUAGAUGGAUCCGCGCCGCAUUAGCUAGUUGGUAAGGUAACGGCUUACCAAGGCAACGAUGCGUAGCCGACCUGAGAGGGUGGUAGGCCACACUGGAAACGGAAAACGGGUCCGGCUCCUACGGGGGGGCGGCGGGAGGAAAUCUUCCGAAAGGGGGCAAGCCCGAAAGAGGCAACCCGGGUGGGGGAAUAAAGCGUUUGGGAUGUAAAAACCUUUUUUUUGGGGAAAAAAAAAUGGGGAAAAAACUACGCCGGUCUGGCGGGACCCAAAGAAAAAACCCCGGCUAACUUAGGG